rnacentral:piRNA from 1 species
UGAAGAUGUUCAUUACUCCUUCUUGG